UUGGAACCCGAAUUGCACGGGAAUCGACGUCCUGGAUGACCAAACCCACCUCAUUUCGGAUGCUGCAACCGGAGGAACUUGGCACUGCACCGCACCGUGUCGCGGUUGGGUGUCCGGGUAAGUGUUUUUGAUUGGCAGCAAUAAUGGAACGAUGAGAAUCAAAAUCUGAUGCUUGAGUUUUUUUUAUUGUAUUUUUCAUGUACCAAACUGUUCUUAUGCGAGAACAGUUGCUCUUGAUCAAGAACGGAUGAUUGAAGUUAACUAUGUAACAUCAAUUCUUGAAUAUGAUUUGAAUCUGGAUGUACGGAAAAUAAAAUUAACAGUGUAAUGCUUAUGAUACACUUUGACCUCUUUUGCAACAUGCGCGCCAUUACUUGCCCUUUCUGAGACAUCUGAAGCUUUUGCAUAAAAAAAGUAUCGAUAGUUAGUCUCGCAAGUUUCCGUGAGUGCCUCCAUGGAUCUCAUAACUGACCACAAAAAGUAUUUCAAAAAACCCCUAAUUGAACUAAUCCUAGAGGCUAGCCAAAUAUCCGCUACCCAGUCAACCAGUGGUCGUAUGAGAUGUUGCAUAAGAUGUUAAAAUGGAGGCGAUAUGCGUACAUUUUACAUGCGCCUAAAUGGAGACAUGCACGCAUAUGGCCUCCACUUUAUCAUCUAAUGCAACAUCUAAUACGAUUACUGGUUGUCUGGGUACCUGCUUGUAUAACACAAUACAAGCAAAGGUAGAAUGAGAUCGAUAGCUUAGAAACGUUUAAGGCAAAAUGAGAUGGGGUUGUUCGAAAUUGCGUUCGACAAAAAUAGGUACGCAAUAGGGGGGGUUUAUAAAAACUAAAUUUUCCGACCGACAUUUUAUUCUCGUGCGAUUCGUCAAGUUUUCUAAAUCGGUGAAAAUUUCAAAUUACCAGUUAGCCAAGUCAAUAGUGAUUUUGGGAAGACAAAAUUGUAAUAAUCAGUGAUCAAAACAGUUAAUUGAUUAUUUUACAAUCUUUGAUUAAGAUUAAGCCAGGACAGCCAUUUUGAAAAUCACUCUAAGUGUGACUAAAAUACCAGAUCAAAAGGGUGAUUCCCGCUGGUCAUCGCGGGUGUUUAUCCGGAGUCGCCGACUUCUAGGAAAAUCAGUUCGUUGGCUCGAACCAGCCCUGCGACCGGACCACUCUCAUGCGAGCGCCCAUCAAUCGCGCAACAUCCGAAAGCUUUCCGCAACGUUUCUCGUCGCAGCAUCGGCAAGCUCAUCCCAUAAUCGUUGCCCAAAUCGUCUCACACCGAAACAUCGCACAAUCGGCAAGCGUUAGGCACAGAAGUUUGAAGAAGUGCCACCUGCGGGUGAGUAGUCGAAACUGUGUUUACACGCAUAGCAAGCAAACGAACGGUGGAAACGGUGGCGUGUGGAUAGUUGUGUUGCGGAUCGACCCCUGCAUGUGGAGUGUGGAACCUCGCGAAACGAAAAAAGUGCAUGCGCAUGCGAUUCAAGGUCACGUGAACGUUUGAAUCGACGUGAUAGGAUUGUUCAACAGAUCCUGGAAAGUCGAACGACGUGGGACCUGCUCGUCGGAAACUGUGAAUGGUUUGCAGCUAGAAAGGUCAGAUCUUUUUAUUGUACAUAUUUUUUUCUCGUUUUUUAGCUUGUAAGAACAAAUUAGAAUUAAGCUCAAAGAAUAUUGGUGACGUCACCUUCACGAAAGCUAGGCCUAUGUAAAUUGCGAAAACUUUUGAAUAAACUGGAAUUGAAAACUAUAGGCCCUCACCAAUUCGAAGGUUGACGAGUUAUGCGAUUUGAAUUUUCUUAUAAUAUUUCCUUUAUUUGUCUCAUUAAGCCUUAUCCGCAAAUUAACUUGCUGUUUAGGUAAAUUUUGAUAAAUUUGAUUGAGAGUUCAGUUGGUUCAGUUGGGUGAACUUUGAAGCCAACCUUGUGGUUAGCUAAAGUGAUCGGUGUUUGAGGGAAUAACCUACCCGCCCUAGAAAAGAGCCUCUGCCGGGCCACUAACAGCCUCAGUAGUCUCACGUUAAGUGAGUGGCGCUUAAACUACUGCAGGUCUCGUACCCUAAGCAUUCGUUACAACUACAAAAGCCUUAUAAAACUGAAAAUAAGUUCAACAGUUCUUGUUGUGUUUAUGGUUUUAUGAACUGAACCUCAAGUAUUCUUGGAGGUGUUUUUAAAACCACAUAUUGACGAAGAAUAGUUGUGCUCAGCUGAAACUCCGAUAAGAUCAACUAGAAUAUGCAAUGUUCCGAUAAAACUAUCAUAAAAACAAAUAAAACCAAAUAGAAUCAAGAUUGUUACUUGGAA